GAUCAUGGCUCAGGACGAACGCUGGCGGCGUGCCUAACACAUGCAAGUCGAACGAAGCUCUGCGAUACAAGACUUCGGUCAAGUUGAACGGAUGACUUAGUGGCGGACGGGUGAGUAACGCGUGAGGAACCUGCCUUUCAGUGGGGGACAACAGUUGGAAACGACUGCUAAUACCGCAUAAUGUAUUCUGACCGCAUGAUACGGAACUAACCAAAGUAUUUAUUGCUAGAAAGAUCGG
rnacentral:rRNA from 1 species